rnacentral:rRNA from 1 species
UACGUAGGCAGCAAGCGUUGUUCGGAGUUACUGGGCGUAAAGGGUGCGUAGGUGGGCAAGUAAGUCAGUGGUGAAAUCUCCGGGCUUAACCCGGAAACUGCCAUUGAUACUAUUCGGCUUGAGAGUUGGAGGGGGGACUGGAAUUCUUGGUGUAGCAGUGAAAUGCGUAGAUAUCAAGAGGAACACCAGUGGCGAAGGCGAGUCCCUGGACAACUUCUGACGCUGAGGCACGAAAGCUAGGGGAGCAAACAGG